rnacentral:lncRNA from 1 species
AACUCAUCCAGGCUCUGAAGAACAGUUAGCAUUUUAUGCGAUAUUUAUGUGUGCACAAGGUGGGUAUAUGAAUCCAACGGAGAACUGGAGUAAGAUGCUAAGUCAUUUGACUGCAAAUUACAAAAGGUUUCCUUGGACCAGGGAAAACUGGGGAGUUCUCCUUUGCUACGAGAAUGUGUUAUAUUCUUCUGGGGCGGUGCUUAGGAGAAUAAUUUCAGGAAUGAGACCACCUGUGUCCACAUUCUGGCUCUCCCAUCAACACCGUGUGAGGCAGAACACGCCCAAGCUCCAUAACCCCUCAGGAGCGUGGAGAAGUAUGUGCACCUCCGUCCUUGUGAGGGUUAAGCGAGUGUUCCUGUGAACCAGGCAAUGCCCGGCAACUUGCUCCAUGCCCAUUGGCUGUUUUUAAAAUUCACUGAGGCGUGGGAAGUUUGAUAAUUUAUUCAAGACAGCUGGUUAAAUAAAUAGAAAUAAA